UACGGGGGGGGCAAGCGUUGUUCGGAAUUACUGGGCGUAAAGGGCGCGUAGGCGGCGUUUUAAGUCGGGGGUGAAAGCCUGUGGCUCAACCACAGAAUGGCCUUCGAUACUGGGACGCUUGAGUAUGGUAGAGGUUGGUGGAACUGCGAGUGUAGAGGUGAAAUUCGUAGAUAUUCGCAAGAACACCGGUGGCGAAGGCGGCCAACUGGACCAUUACUGACGCUGAGGCGCGAAAGCGUGGGGAGCAAACAGG
rnacentral:rRNA from 1 species